rnacentral:lncRNA from 1 species
UUUAUAUAAUGUCUAUUAUGAAAAUUUUAGACAGAUAAGGUGAGCUGCUUCCAAUGACGUUUACUUGAAUUAAUGCCAAGUGACGGCUUCCGAAGACAGCGUAUUUCCUAGGUUACAUUCAGAUUUUCACACUGUCUAAAUUCAACAUAUAUUAUAAUACUAAACAUAUAUUUCUAUUCGAAGAAAAACUCUCGAAGUAUUGACGGUGCAGACAGAGAGUAGAUGUGGCGAGUUCAGAAUUCAGAAAACUGACAAGGUUAAGUAAACAUCUAUCUAUCUAUCUAUCUAUCUAUCUAUCUAUCUAUCUAUCUAUCUAUCUAUCUAUCUAUCUAUCUAUCUACUAUCUAUCUAUCUAUCUAUCUAUCUAUCUAUCUAUCUAUCUAUCUAUCUAUCUAUCUAUCUAUCUAUCUAUCUACCUAUCUAUCUAUCUAUCUAUCUAUCUAUCUAUCUAUCUAUCUAUCUAUCUAUAUAUAUAUAUAUAUAUAUAUAUAUAUAUAUAUAUAGUAUGCAUGUAUUUGUAUAUAUCAUGUGUGUGUGUGUGUGUGUGUACAUAAUAUAUAUGUCUAUACAUAUCAAUUUAUGUAAAUAUUUACAUAAUGUUUGAAUGUUGUAUAGAUGUUGUAUAUUAAGAAGGUGGGAGUCAGAAUUUUGAAUAGUUCUUUAUAAACGCUUUCGUUCGUUUAUACAUGUAUACAUAUAUUUAUACAUACAUGCAUGCAUAUAUGUAUGUAUGUAUGUAUGUAUGUAUGUAUGUAUGUAUGUAUGUAUGUAUGUAUGCAUGUAUGCAUGUAUAUACAGUAUAAAGGGAGUGAACGUUUCACCUGCGUCGUAUCCCAGUGUUCUAUUAAAUAAAUGAAACAUUAUGAAUUUUCCAAUAAAUCUGUUUCAAGGGUGAUUGUCUCCUCCUCAGAGAAGCUCUGCUCUCGUUUCUCGCUUCCCCAAACAAACUGCUAAUCUAAGCCACUGUACACAGUAGUAUUCUGAGUUUUGAGGGUCCAUAUAAAUAUACUUAAUUUAGUAAAAUAUAUUGCUAACUAGCCUUGGGUCACCGGGAAACUCUGAGUUUCCCAGCAACGAAGUUUUGUUUCGUGGAUUUUUCUCUUUUCCAUGUUAUUUCGCAUGCUUUCAACGAAUGUGACAUCGAAAGGUUAGAGUUUCUUCCUUUACAAGAUAAAGUUGCAUUCGAAACAUUUUCCCAUUAUGCACCAUUUUGGGGUAUUUAUACCCACUAAACCCCGAAUAUCUCAAUAACUACCGCUCCGAAUUACGUGAAACUUGUUUCAUUGCGUUCGUAUUAACAUUUCAGGGUAUUUUCAUAGUAUUUUCCCAUUAUACUUUAGUUUGGCUGGGUAACAUUGCAAGCAGGCAAGCAAGAUUCAAAUUGAUUUCUAAUGUAUUAUAGACAACAAAAUUAUAAAAUCUAUUAAUGCUAUAAUCUAUAUUAUAGAAUGAUUUAAACUGUGACUUUUCUGGGUAGGGAGUAACGAGGAUGCAUCUUUUCUAAUGAGAAGACACUCAUUCUCGAAACUGCUCUGUAUCAAGAUUCCCCAUUAAUUCUCUGUUUGCUUAAAAUAAGCAACAUUCUUUGCAAUUUCCUAAACUUAAGCGUCUAGAUAAAUAACUCUACAUUUAUAUACAUUAUACAUGUUUAAUGUUGUGUAUAUCUAUAUAUCUAUAUAGCUAUAUAUAUAUAUAUAUAUAUAUGUCGUUUUGGGAUUUGGUUUGCAAGAUUCUUUAUAUGAGUUCGUGUGUUGAAGCAUAUUCUCUUGUGUCUGGGGAGAGUCAUUUUCUUUUUGUGCCUUAUAAUUUAACAAACUCACCGGUAAAAUUUCCACUUUUUUCUUAUUUUUAUUUUCCUAAAAUUUUCGUUGCGUCUUGCAACCUUUUCAAUAGUCUUGACUCUCAUAUAAGGCACAAAAAGAAAAUGAUUCUCCCCAGACACAACAGUAUAUAUAUAUAUAUAUAUAUAUAUAUAUAUAUAUAUAUAUAUAUAUAUAUAUAUAUACACACACGUUUAUGAAUUUGUGUUACAAGAUUCUUGAUGUGAAGUCGUUUGUUGAAACACAUAAUGCUGUAUUUUGGGACGGUCAUUUUCUUUUGCCAAAUAAACACACGUACUAUAUAUCCGUUCUUCACUCGUUUAUUACUGUUCUUAUUCUAACUCAUGUCCAUUGUCCGAAAAUCUUUCGUCACACAUCUGUGACCUCUUCAGUGGCACUUUCUGCCUUCGUGUGUGCUUUUGAGUUGCUUAUUCUACUUGCAGAGAAUGGAAUAAGUAGAGCAAGAGCACACACGAGAAUGGAAAGUGUCGCUGAAGAGGUCACAGAUGUGUGACGAAAAAUUUCCGGACAGUGGAGAUGAGUUAGAAUAAGAACAGUGAUAAGGGGGUGAAGAACGAAUAUAUAGUGCGUGUGUUUAUUUGGCAAAAGAAAAUGACCAUCCCUAAAUCCAAUAUGUAUGUGUGUGUGCAUUGUGUAGCUUAGUAGUAAGAUGUUGAUUCACUAUCAUAGUGUUGUGUGUUCGAUUCCGUGCGGGGAUGGCAAGUUGCUUUUAAGUAUAGCACAUCAUUUCACGUUGGCCCAGUCACUCAGUUGAAAAUGUGUGCCUUCCUAAUAUUGCUGAUGCGGCCCGACUCUCUCUUCCAGCUGUCACAUCUUCGACAUUUCGCUGGAACAACAGUGGGAGGGUCGGGAAUGUCUGUGUGCUAUUGUCCUGAAACAACUGGCACCUGAAACAAUUCAUGAAAACCUGAUACAAGUUGUUACAUCAUACUCACUCGUGAGUGAAGGCUAAUGUGUGAGUGAGUGAGUGAGUGAGUGAGUGAGUGAGUGAGUGAGUGAGUGAGUGAGUGUGUGAGUGUGUGUGUGUGUGUGUGUGUGUUUAUGCAACAGCACUUCCCCUAACCUAGAAGACCACAAAUAUGGUUAGGGCAAAUAUUAUCCUAACCAUAAUUAGGAUCCCAAAUUACGGAGAGAAUCGUGCAAAUAUCAAUACAAACAGCAAAACCGCCAUAAACCAAGAAACUAAGAACCCUUUAUCAAGUUCAACUCUGCGAGGAUGAAGGACAGCUUAGAACAACGGGAACACAAAAUAUAAAAGAUUCUCAAACAACAAGCAUAUCAAACAUAUUCUCCCAUCAUCAGCCGUAUAACGAGUAUAGCUAUCGUUUCCACACCAGGUUAGUACUAUUCAAUGCAGGGAUGUCAGCAGUGUUCAAAAUACUGCGCUGUUUGGUAAAUAAUAAACAAGAAGUAGGAACCGAACAUUAACAUAAAAGAUCCGUUAUGUCUAUACCUGUAUAUCAUCGACAUCAAAUUUUGGCCAGCAAAUUUGAGGGAGUGGUAAGUCGAUAACAUCGACCCCAGUGUUCAACAGGUGUUCUUUUUUAUCGACCCCGAGAGAAUGAAAAGUAAGGUUGACCCCAGCGCAAUUUGAACUCAGAACGUAAAGACGGACGAAAUGCCGCUAAGCAUUUAGGCCGGCGUGCUGACGCCUGUCAGCUCAACGCCUUAAUAUCUGUGUAUGAUUACAAAUAGAAACAAAAGCGGCGAGCUGGCAGAAUCGUUAGAACGCCGGGCGAAAUGCUUUGCGGUAUUUCGGCUGCCGUUACGUUCUGAGUUCAAAUUCCGCCGAGGUCGACUUUGCCUUUCAUUCUUUCGGGGUCGAUAAAUUAAGUACCAGUUACGCACUGGGGUCGAUGUAAUCGACUUAAUCCGUUUGUCUGUCCUUGUUCGUCCCCUCUGUGUUUAGCCCCUUGUGGGUAGUAAAGAAAUAGGUAUUUCGUCUGCCGCUACGUUCUGAGUUCAAAUUCCGUCGACGUCGACUUUGCCUUUCAUCCUCUCGGGGUCGAUAAAUUAAGUACCAGUUACGCACUGGUAAUAUAAUUAACUUAAUCCGUUUGUCUGUCCUUGUUCGUCCCCUCUGCGUGUAGCCCCUUGUAGGUAAUAAAGAAACAGGUAUUUUGUCUGUCUUUAGUGUUCUGAGUUCAAAUUCCGCCGGCAUCGACUUUGCCUUUCAUCCUUUCGGAAUCGAUAAAAUAAAUACCAAUUGAACACUAGGAUCGAUGCAAUCAAUUUACGACCUCCCCGAAUCGCUAGCCUUAUGCGAAAAUUGGAAGCCAUUAUUACAAAUACAAAUAUCAAAUCUUAAACACAAAUCGUUUCAUAAUUAUUAUAUAGAAAUUAAAAAAUACUACCAACACAUAGAAAUAACACCAAAAAGUGUAUUGCAUAUAUAAUAUAUAAGCGUGUAUAUGUUAUAAAUAUACAUCGUCUGGUCUAUUCAUCUUCAGUCAGUUCGUCACCAGGUCAGUCUGACACCAGGUGAAAUUGUCGUCAGAGUCCAAAUUACAAUAUAUAACCAAGACAUUUUAUUCUCGUUAUACUGUUUUCAAUUUGCAUCUGUUAUUCUUCUGUGCUUAUUGCUAUAUGUAAAGUAAUUUUGUUAGAGUCUCUCGUUUCGUUCUUUACUUUCUUUUCCUGAAUACAUCGAGACGGAGACGUGUGGAAAUGACAAUUAUACAAUACAGACGCUUAUAGAAAUAAUACUUACGUAUCAAUAUGGAUGCGAAAAUAACUAAAAUUGAUACUUAUUUAUUCAAAAGUAUUUAUUUAUCUAAAAUUUCAUCAGGAACACACAAACAAAACCGGUGACUAAAAUCUAAUAUCAUAAAAAAGAUCGCAUGUAAAAACGUGAAAUGCUCAACAUUUUUUAAUUGGCGCGGGCAUGGCUGUGUGGUUAAGAAGCUCACUUUGCAACCGCAUGGUAUUGGGCUCAAUCCCACUGCGCGCCACCCUGCGUAAGUGACUUCUACUACAGUUUCGGUUGAACUGAUACCUUGGAAAGGAAUUAUGAAUUUGGUAGGCGGAAAUUGUGUGGAAACCUUAUACUUAAACACACACACACACACGUAUAUAUAUGCAUGUAUGUAUGCUUGUGUGUGCGCCUUUAAUUUUGUCUCCUUACACUGCUUGACAACCGUCGCUGGUUUGUUUACGUCCCCGUAACUUAACGAUUCGACAAAAAAAAGGCUGAGUGAAUAAGUCCCAAAUUUUUUUUUAAAAGUAUUGGUAGAUUUGUUCAACUAAAUCUUUCAAGGUGGUGCUCCAGCAUGGCUGCGUUUCAUUGACUGAAACAAGUAAACGAAAAGAAAAGAGAAAGAUUCACAUUUCAGCUUUUAUGAUCAACGCCCGACAAGAAAUUAUUCUAUAUUUGUUUUUUGGAAUAUUUUCUUCUUCCCCGAUAAAUUUCUGGCAAUUUCACAUUUACAAACCUCUUUUUAGAUCGGUGAUUCUCAACCGAGGUCGAUAUGGCCUUCAAGGGUCCAUAUAAAAUUUUUAAAGGUCCACGCAAGCAAAUAGUGUACUUGAGAUCUACAAUAGUAUUUUAAGGGCCCCUGAAAAAUUUUUUACUUUAGAUGUGUGUUUUGGAAUGUAUAUUGUGCGAAACAGCUUCGUUUCUUUCUCUCACAUUUCGCAAAGUUCAACCCACACAAAUCAAUGUGUGAAAGGCAAAAUAGGAAUUUUGAAAGAAGAUUCUAGAAAACUAGAUAUUAAACAUCGAAUGGCUGUGGGGUGGGGGGUCCACUAGGAUAAAAUAGUAAUGAAAGGAGUCCAUAGGAAAAAGUGGUUGAGAACCCCUGUUUUAGAUCUUUAACGCAUCAAUGAGGCUCCGAAUAUUUCGAUGACAAGCGUUCACCACAAACGGUUCGACGCUCAACGAAAGCUUCAAAACUAUUUCUUGGUCGGUGCGGCCCUGUAAUGCAUUCUUUUAGUUUUCAUCUUUUUUCUUUUACUUUUUUCGGUCGUUGGACUGCGACCAUGCUGGGGCACCGCCUUGGAAGGGCAGAGUCUAACAAGUCGACGCCAGUGUUUAUUUUUUUUAAGUCUGCUAUUGGUCACUUUUGUGGAGGACGUAAACAAGCCAACACCGGUCGUCAAGCGGUGGUGAGGACAAACACAAAGAUACACACUUAUCACACAAACACACACACACAUAACACAUAUACAUACAUAACACACACGCACGCACACACGUACACACACACACAGGUACGUACAUAUGUACGUAUAUUCGCCAUGAUUGAUCGCUAGCCACUAAAUCUUUUUCAUUUUCUCUCUCUCCUUAUUUCUGUGUUUCUUUCUGUUAAAGAGCUUAGGCUCGAAACCUAAAAGACUUUCUUACUUCCUGAGCGUUAAACUAAUACAUCAGUUUUUUUGUUUAAACACCCGUUUUCGUCUUUUGUCUUGUUUUGUUUUGUUUUGUUUUUGUUUAUUUGUAAAUUUCAACUGUGUAUAAGGAUGGGCUUCCACAUAAUUUCCAUCUACAAAAUUUACCCACAAAGCAUUGGUCGGCCCGAGGCUAUAGUAGAUGACAAUUUCCCAAGGCACCGCGCAGUCGGAUUGAACCCAAAAUCACAAACUUCUUAACCGCACAGUCUGCUUUGAAACCUACAGCCAUUUCUGCCUCGUGCUUUACAUUCAUAUUUGUACCCGUAAUUAUUGGGGCAAUUGGUGUAGUUAUUAUUAAUUUGGAAAAGAAGCCCUGUCGCAUUUCAAGAUGGUCAAGAAACAAAUAUUUCUUAGGUCUUAAUUGAAUGAUUUCGCUUGGAUUGGAUUGGACUGUCCAUGUUUAGCCUACUUCAGGACGAAGGCCUCGGCAUGUUCCCUCCACCAACCACGGUCUGAUGUGGAGACCGUGAAUCUGAGCUUCAUACCAUACUGGCUUGAUGCUCUUUGUCACACUGACUUGACAUAGCUUGGCAGAGAGAUGCAGUUUUUAUACUCAUAACCUGGAGUAGCUAAGUCGAUUACAUCGACCCCAGCGUUCAUCUGGUACUUAUUUUAUCGAAACCCAAAAGGAUGAAAUGCAAAGUUGACCUCGUAAAGACGGACGAAAUACCGCUGAGCACUUCAUCCGGCGUGCUUACGAUUCUGCCAGCUCGUUGCCUUGAAUGAGUUAAUCAAGAUAAUAUUUACCCUCGUUAUUCUUUUCUUUUUUACUUUAGGCACAAGGCCCGAAAUUUGGAGGGAGGGGGUCAGUCGAUUAGAUCGAUCCCAGUACGCAACUGGUACUUAAUUUAUCGACCCCGAAAGGAUGAAAGGCAAAGUCAACCUCGGCGGAAUUUGAACUCAGAACGUAACGCCAGAUGAAAUACCGCUAAGCUAACGUUUCUGCCAGCUCGCUGCCCUAAUUUACCCUCAUUAUUAAUAACAUAAUCCCAUCUAUUUGACAAAUUGCUGAUCCCUUAGGCGUAAAUUUCUUCAGACUGCGAAGUAUAGAAACUCAGUAUCAUCUUUAAUCCCUUCACAAUUAGUAAACUGUUUUCCCUGUGAAUGAUUUUGCAAUGAUCUGAAAAGACUGAUGGAUCAAGGCCGGGAGAGUGGAGAGACUGAGACAAAACUUCCAUAUUUAGUCCCUAAUCUGUUCCUGAGUAACUUUAGCAAUAUGUAGUCUUUACAUUAUCGUGUAAGACAAGACCCCUUUCCAAUCGACAACUGAUGGCUGCUUUUGUGCAAUGCUACCAAUUGAUGGCAUUUAGAAGGGCCGACUAAUAUAGGAAGACCAUCGGAUAUAUCAAGACAAUCUGAUAUCUAAUGACUAAUUAAUAAGAUAUAAACACCAUCUAAUGUAUAAAUAAGACAUCUGAUAUGAAAGACCAUCUAAUCUAUAAAUUCCAUCUAUUAGAUGACUAUAGACUGUAUAAAGAUCAUCUCAGGUGAGGAGCUGGCAGAAUGGUUAGCACGUCGAGCAAAAUGCUUAGCGACGUGUCGUCCAUCUUUACGUUCUGAGAUCAAAUUUUGCCGAGGUCGACUUUACCCUUCAUUUUUGGCGGGAUUGAUAAAAUAAGUACCAGAUGAUCACUAGGACAAAUCUAAUCGACUUACCCCUCCCCGAAUUUGCUGAACUUGUACCAAAAUCUGAAACCAAUAUAUAAAGACGGCGUCAUCUGAUGUAUGUUUAUUACGCAAAUCUGUAAAGGUCAAAAUAUGCCAGAUUGCCAGCAUUUAGUAAGUCUACACUUUUGUUGAUAACCAAUCUCCUCUUCUAGAGUCUCUGCUCAUUUACAAAACAAAAACAAAACUUAUUUAGAAGACGAUUUCGGAAUUUUUUUUUUUUUUAAAGACAACUCACCAUAACUUUUGCCAAAGAUUUACAAAUUCUUCGAUAUCAGCAUUUAUUUGUGAAUGUUCAGGGACCUUGUUUUGGUUCUUUGUUCUUAUCACCAUUAUUUUUUCGGUUAGUAAAGAAUAUAUUGCCAUUCCGAAGCUAUACAAAUAUCAUUGCCGAAUACAAUUUACGCAUUGACAAUCAAUUAAAAAACUCAUAAUUAGUUUAAAACUAAUUAAUUCAGUCAUUAAUAGAUUAAUUUUCCAAUAAAAAUAAUUGAGUUAUUUCUGAAGAAUUUUAUUUCCAUUUUCGAACUAGGAAUCCUUUUAUUGUUUAUUACGACAUUAGUCUGAUCAAAUAGUUUGGUUAUUUUGGAAGUAUUUAUCUCUGUACUGUUGAAAUUAAUUACCGCAACCUAAUAGCCCCUGUACACGCUAAUGACCGCUGUUAUUGCGUUGACAUGUUACAUAUAAUACAGAGGUAAGUUGCUGAGGUAACGUCUAUGUGGGCGUUAAGCCUGCAAGAAAUAGCAGCCAAAUCUCCAUCAAAACACAUUUUAUGCAAUGUCUUAAGCGAAAGAGUCAUAGGUGUAUAGGAUUUUAUUAAUAAAGACUUUAUUAUAAAACUAUUAAAAUCUUAUCCGUAGGAGCAGGUAUGGCCGUGUGCUGAAGAAGUUCGCUUUGCAACCACGUACUUUCGGUUUCAAUCUAACGGUGCAGCACCUUAGGCAAGUGUCUUCAACUAUAACCCCAGGCACACCACGGCUUUGUGAGUAUUUGGUAGAUGAAAACUGUGUAGAACCCCGUCAUAUAUAUAUAUCUUUUACCUGUUUCAGUUAUGAGAUUGAGGCCAUGUAUGUGUAUGCGUGUGCAUGUGUGCGUGUGUCUAUUUGUAUCUCUGUGUGUGUCCUUCUAAUCACCUGACAAGUGGUUUGGUUUCGUACCCGUAACCUAGUGGUUCGACAAUAGAGAACGACAGACUAAGUAAAGUUUCAGGCUUCAAAAAUACAAUAAUUACUGCAGGAUCGAUUUAUUCGACUGAAAAACAAGCUUUCAAGGCGGUACUCCAGCAUGGCCGUAGUCCAAUGACUGCAAAAUAGUCAAAGAUAAAAGACAAGAUUAUAUUUCGGAAACAAAUGAAAAGAAAAUUCCGUGAGAAUAUUUAAAUAGCGAAACCUGCUACCAUGGUAGAUUUAAUCCAAGUUUCAUUUAAUGUCUCUAAAUAUUAGUCGGCUGGUGUGUGUUACAGAAUGCUGCCAUCUUUAUUUUAAGAAGAUUCAGUUAAGAAGGAAUAUUAUAAGAAUGACAAAUCCAAAUUCCAUUUAUUAUUGGAAGCGGAGAAAUAUGGUAAAAAAAACAAAAAAAAAAACUAUAAAAUUUAAUACUUCACUUGUAUCAUCUUUGCAAAUAUUACAAAAUACUUACUCUUUUCCCACUGGAUUAGAAAAGGAAUAUUCAGACGUGCGCGCGCACACACACAACUAUCUAUCUAUCUAACUAUCUAUUUAUAUAUAUACAUAUAUAUAUAUAUAUAUAUUAAUAAUAUAAGGGUAAAUAAUUACUAACCGAAGACUUUGUUUUCGUUAUUUUUCCUUUUGUUUUACAUAUGUGAGUUACAUGUAUAUGUUGUAUGUGGAGUUGUACUUGUAGAAAAUAGAAAUAAGCGGUCUUUGACUGCUAUUUCUAAUUUUUCGGUAUGUGGCUAAGCAACCUGUUGCUUGCCCUUUCAUAUAUAUAUAUAUAUAAAGAUAGAUAGAUAGAUAGAUGGAUAGAUAUAAAGAUAGAUAGAUAGAUAGAUAGAUAGAUAGAUACAUACAUACAUACAUACAUACAUACAUACAUACAUACAUACAUACAUACAUACAUACAUACAUACAUACAUACAUACAUACAUACAUACAUACAUACAUACAUACAUACAUACAUACAUACAUACAUACAUAGAAAGGAGUGAAUACAUGUUGCUGCAUCCAAAAAUUCAAUGCAAACGGUAACAUCUAAUCGCAACUGAAACUCCGCCAUUACGUCUGUGCGUUUCCCUUUUCUGUUCAUCAGGAAGUCGUCGAUUCAGCUGCAGAAAGUCAUAAUCAUCUUAGUAAUACAUCGGUUUUACCAAAUAUUCUGUGUGUAUUAUACAUACACGCAUAUGCACAUACACAAACACACACAGAUAUACAAGUGAAUAUAUAUAUAUAUAUAUAUAUAACAUUAUUGGUGAAUUGAAGAAAUGGAGCUGAACGCAGAUUGAACAGAAAUCGUUUUAUUUCAUUCUACACGUGUUUCGAAAGGCACAAAUUACCAAAAUCCGAUGGAAUAAUGGGACCAUAUUGUGUCUUUCUCUUCAGGAAGAAAAUAGGAAAUCCGUUGGAAAAACAGAGGCGUUAGCGUAGGUAGAAAUACUUAUCGUAAGCUAGGUUAGUGAGCGUCUGGGAGAAGAUUAGCCUACGGGAGGGUCUUGACUUCGCAUAUUAGACGCAGGGCGAUUUUUUGAGCCAAAACAGAUUUGUUUUUGCUCCGCCUCUGUUCUGUUUUUGUUUUUCCAACGGAUUUCCUAUUUCAACCGAUUCCUGAAGAGAAAGACACAAUAUGGUCCCAUUAUUCCAUCGGAUUUUGGUAAUAGUGUGCCUUUCGAAAAGCACGUGUAGAAUGAAAUAAAACGAUUUCUGUUCAAUCUGCGUUCAGCUCCAUUUCUUCAAUUCACCAAUAAUGUUCUAAUUUCAAUUAUCCGCACCAACGCACGGUUGCAACACCAUAUGGUUGUACCUCCAACCGUGCUGUUUUACUGCUGUGAUUUUUGCUACUAAGGUAUCGGUUAAACUUUUGAUUAAUCUACUACAAGAUUAUUCAUCUUUCUAUUUCACAUAUAUAUAUAUAUAUAUAUAUAUAUAUAUAUAUAUAUAUAUAUAUAUAUAUAUAUAUAUAUAUAUAUACCGUAUUUAACGGCAUAUUAGACACACCCUCAUUUCAGCAGGUCAAAUUCAGGAAAAAAUGUUUCAAGUGUAUUUAAGCAUAUAUUGUUGAAAGCAGUCUAGCAGCUCAUUACAAAAGCAGAAAACAUUGCUGUAUAAAAGCAAGCAUACAAAAGGAAAGCAUACAAAUUGCAAUAGCCGUGAGGGUGUUGCCAUAACCGUGAGGGUGCUUGUACUGUUGUAGUGUGUUUUGUUAUGAUCAUAAACUUUGUUGUACCAAGAUAUCCAACCUACCUCCGUAUAUACACGAACUCGCAACGAUCAUGUAGUUUUACUCCCCACCGUUAGAUGGCAUCGGGUUAGGGUUCCGAUCAGCUGAUAUUAGUAAACGUAUGUCAUGGAUCGCAGCCUAACAAUUUACGGUAGAUUGCUUUGAUUUUUACGAUAAUUCGUAUUUUAAAGUAAUAAUACUGGUAGUAGUAAUAAUAAUAAUAAUAAUAAUAAUAGCAAUAAAAUAAUGAUGCAUGAGUACGGAAAAUAUCAUUAAGGCGUUAGCGUAGGUAGAAAUACUUAUCGUAAGCUAGGUUAGUGAGCGUCUGGGAGAAGAUUAGCCUACGGGAGGGUCUUGACUUCGCAUAUUAGACGCAGGGCGAUUUUUUGAGCCAAAUUUUUUGGAAAAAAGUGCGUCCUAUAUGCCGUCAAAUACGGUAUAUAUAUAUAUAUAUAUAUAUAUAUAUAUAUAAAUAAGCAUACUGGGAGAAGGAAAGAAACGAAACGAAGCGACGCGAGGGCGCUCAGUCAUACAAUAAUGUAAUAAAUAAAAUAUAUGCAUUAUAUAUAUUUAUAUAUGCAUGUAUAUAUACAUGUAGAUGUAGGUACGUACAUAUAUGUUGGUAUGUAUGCAUAUAUUUUAUUUAUUACAUUAUAUAUAUAUAUAUAUAUAUAUAUAUAUGUGUGUGUGUGUAUGUGUGUAUGUAUGUAUGUAUGUAUGUAUGUAUGUAUGUAUGUAUGUAUGUAUGUAUGUAUGUAUGUGUGUAUGUAUGUAUGUAUACCAUACUCUUUUGCUAGUUUCAGCUCGAGGGCCAUACCCAUACUGGGGCACCGCUAAUAUAAUAAGAUACUAUGGUGUAUUUAUAUAUAAGUGUGUGUGUGUAUGUGUGCGCGCGUAUAUAUGUGUGUAUAUAUAUAUAUAUAUAUAUGAUUGAUUGAUUGAUUGAUUGAUUCUAGUUUCAGCUUAUGAGCUGUGGCCAUGCUGGGGCACCGCCAUUUUGUGUUGCUACUUGGUUUCACUUCAUGGAGGCUUUCUAGCAGCUGCUAUUUGGUGCAUGAGAGAGUUCGAUGCAGCUGCCCUCAUCUGCCCCUCCUGCCGUGAAGUUGGUUCAUCUGGGACACCUGACAGGAAGAGAUCCAGCUUCAUUUUAAAGACAUCUGUAUCCACCCCAUGCAGGUCUCUCAGGUUCUUCGGGAGGAUAUUGAAGAGCUGUGGGCCUCGGAAGCCCAGGCUAUCACAGUAUCUUGUCCUACAUCUUGAUGGCAGGUUUGGAGUCCUAGGCACCACGCAGUGGCGCCCAGUUCUGGCAUUUGCGUAACUCUCGAUGCCAAAGUUCAGGACACUUCCCUCCAGGAUCUUCCAGAUGUAUAUUAUGGCAUAUCUUUCCCGCCUACGCUCCAGGGAAUAUAAUUUUAAUCUCUUGAGUCUUUCCCAGUAGCUUACAUUCUGCAUAGAGGCUAUCUUCUUUGUGUAGCUUCGUUAUAUAUAUAUAUAUAUAUAUAUAUAUAUAUUUCAUUAAUUAGUGCGGUCAUGCUGGGGCAAUGCCUUAAAGAGAACUUUGAAAAGACUUAGAGUGGUCAUGCUGGGGCAAUGCCUUAAAGAGAACUUUGAAAAGACUUGCUGAAUCUUAUAGAUGAUAUUAGCUUCAAGGAACACCCGUUAAGAUACAACCCUCACCUUAGACACCUUAGGAACUUUAUUCAGUCAACCCGGUGCAAACAUGGAAUCCUAGUACCAGCAGAUAAAACGGGUAAUAUGUAUAGAGUUGAUUACGAUCUUUAUAGCAAAUUAAUUAGGAAAGAACUAAACUCCAAAUAUAAAAUUACGACUAAGAACAAUUUGAAAAAAGUAAACCUGGAAAUGAAAGAGAUCAUGGAGAAACUAAAUUUAACGGAUAGAACAGAGCCGCUUAAACCGUGUGAGCCCAGGAUCAACCUUAAAGACCACAAAAAGAAUUUCUUGGAAAACCCUUCGGUAAGGCUGAUCUGUCCAACUAAGUCGGACAUUGGCCGACUUAGUAAAUCUAUCCUGGAUACUGUUCUACCCCAAAUAACCCCUCUUCUCCCCUUAAACCUAUGGCUAAGUACAGACGAAGUUCUAAAAUGGUUUAACUCUCUAACUAAUACUAGUAGUCUGUCCUUUAUUCAGUUCGAUAUUAAUAGUUAUUACUCUAGUAUUUCCCCUAUCUUGCUCAACAAAUCACUAAUAUUUGCCAUGAAUCGCUCCCUCAUAUCUAGAGAAGAAAUCAAUAUUGUGCUACUAGCUAGGAAGACAUUUAUAGAAUUUGAAGAUAAAUUAUGGACUAGAGCAGAUACACCUAAUUAUUUUGAUAUACCAAUGGGUUCCAGUGAUUCGGCUGAGGUAACCAACCUAGUAGGCGCAUAUCUAUUAAAAUGCAUAAGCAAGGAUAUCCCAGAAAUACAGGGGGGUCUAUAUAGGGAUGAUGCUCUGUUUGUUAUCCCUAGUAAUAAUAAAUCUAUUAUAGAAAGGAUUAGAAAGAAAAUUAAUAAGUUCUUUAAGGAUUUCAACCUCAGCAUAACGUAUGAACCUGGCACUAAAAUAGUUAACUUCCUAGAUAUUACGCUAGACCUUAACUCCAAGCUGCAUUACCCAUUUAGAAAGGAAGGCGAAAUCACGAAUUACGUAAAUAAAUUAUCAAAUCAUCCCCCAAAUAUAAUUGAAUCUUUAGUAAGAAAUAUUUCAUUAAGAAUUUCAAAAUUAUCAUCCAAUAAGGAUAUAUUUAACUCCCAUUCUGAGCAUUAUAAUGCGGCGUUAACUAAGGCUGGAUACAACCAAAAGAUUACAUUCGUUGAUAAGGAGAACUUACGUAUUCCUAAUAAAGAAGUUAUCAGUAAUCGCGUAAGCAGCAAUACAUACCAAUCCCGAAAUAAAAGUAGAAUUAAAUUAACAGUAAACGCUAAUCUAACGUACAGGCCCAACAAUUCAAAUAGAAGCAUUGACCAAAACAUAGGUAACUCGGAUAAUAUCGAAGUAGAUAAACCAAAGAUGCACACAAAUAAAAAUAAAAAUAAUGGUAAUAAAUACAAUAACUCUGGUGAGAUGAAUAGUAAUAAUUCUACGAACCCUAAAUUUAAUAAAAAAGAUAUAAUAUGGCUGAAUAUUCCUUUCAACUGUGCGAUACAAUCGGAUAUACAGAACAAAUUCAAAGUAAUUCUGGAAAAAAAUUUCCCAAUCUCUCAUAGAUAUCAUAGAAUUAUUUCUAGGAAAACAGUUAGGAUUUCUUAUUCAACCCUCCCAAAUAUGUCCACUUUAAUAGCUAAGAUUAAUAAUAACAACAUUAAACUAGCCAGGAAAGAUAGAAAUAAAAAUAAUAAUAUCAGCAUGAAUACCAAUAGCAAUUAUAAUAAUACUACCAACAAUAAAAACAGCAAUAGUAACUAUCAAAACAUGGGUGAAAUUAGUAACCACAGAAUGACUAAUAACAUUAACAUUAAUAGUAAUAAUAACAAUACCGAUAUUAAUAGAAGUAAUAAUGUUAAUAAUAGAAAUAAUAGAAAUAAGGCUAAUGGAGAAAAUAAGGAGAAUGAAAAUAUCAGUGAUAUCUAUAACAACAAUAUGCAGUCGGAUAAAAAGACUAACAAUAAUAGUAACAUUACCAAUAAUAUAAGAAAUCAUGGUAGGACUUUAGACCUAAAAGAUGAAACAGAAGGAUCAAUAAAUAAUAGCAAUACUUUAGAUAUCAGCACCAACUAUAGAAAUAUUAAUAACAAUAAGGACAAUUAUACUCAUGAUAAUCAAAAUAAUAGGAACCUAAGACAUCGACCCAAGAAUAAUCCAAAACCUGAAGUUGUUCCUCCUGUGUGUAAGUGUAGAAUAAAAUCAAAAUGCCCGGCACCUGGUCUAUGCGGGGAAAAUAACGUAAUCUAUAAAUGUACCAUAUCCACGGAGAAUAACAAAUAUUUUUACAUUGGAUGUACAAUUAAUUUUCUAGCCAGAGUUAGAAAUCACAUCUCGUCUUUUAAAUUACGUCAUAAAGCUGGUACCACCAUACUUUCAAACAAAAUCUGGGAACUCAAAAAUAAUAACAAUAAUUAUAACCUUAAUUGGGAAAUAGUUAGGAGAGCAAUUCCGUAUAAAAAUAGCAGGGUUGGUUGCCAACUAUGCUCCAUGGAGACGUAUGAAAUUCUAAAGCACAGAAAACAUAGAAACUUAUUGAAUAACUAUAUCGAACUAGGUCAAGUUUGUGUCCACGCUAAAUUGAAGACUUUAAAAUAUUUUAAAUGAUUAGAAUAUUCGUAACUAGAUAGAUAGAUAGAUAUAACUUGAUUUUUACUAGUAUAGCACUGCUUUAAGUAGAUAACUAAGAGUUCUCACACUACAGUUAUCUUUUUUCCUUAUAUCUGCAUCAGUUUUUUGAGAACAGGGAAAUAAAUAGUACUUAUACGCUGCUUAAUUGAGGCUUUAUUUAAUUUCAAAUUCAUAAUUUUAAAUCUUAAUUUUAAAUCUUAAUUUUAAUUUUUAAUUUUUAAUUCUUAACUUAAUCUAAUUUAAGUAGCAUAACUUUAAUAAAAUAAAAUGAGUUACUAAAGCCCCAUAAUUCUAUUUCAAAAUUAAAUAAAUAAGGCUACUCCCUCGAUGAUAGUAUGAUUAUCUUCAUUAUGAUAGACAAUUCCCUAACACCUUGUAAAUGAUCUUCUAAGAUUUGACCUGUAGUCCGUCAAUGUAUGAAUAAUAACGGCAACUCCUUAAGACAGUAAAAUGAAUAAAUUAAAUAAAUAAAUUUUAAUGACUUUUUGAUAAGAUUAUACUUAGAUUUUCCUAAUGUAUUUUCUUUUGAUUUUAGCCUUUGACCCCUAUACCCCUGACCUUGUUAUCUCUUUAGAUUCUCUUUAAAUUCAUAGCUGCUUUCAACGGCGUCACGUUAGCAAUAAAUUAGCUGUUUUACUGGUCAAGGAAUAAUAUUCUCCUCUAGUUCCUAGAUGCCUGCAAAUUAAAACCAGACUUGCCGUCUACUAAUUCUUCUGUAUAACUAGAACCCUCUUUUUUUCUUUUUCUUUUCUCCCUUCUUUCCCUCUUUCUUUCUCUUUUCUCUUUUUUCUUUUUCUUCUUCUUAUUCUCUUUUUUCUUUUUUCUUUUUCCUUUUCUCUUCUAUUUUAGUCCCCCCCCCUUUUGCUCCCUCCUCCUUUAUUUUCUCUCUUUUCCUCUCUUUCCUUCCCUUUCUGUUCUUUGCCUCUCUAGAAAGCCCUUCAGCCUUUAAAAAGUUAAAUAGCUACAGUCUCUUGAAAAUAGCAGUAAUGUGAUUAAUGUGGCAAAUACCUAAUCAUAUAGCAAGAAUUGAUACCUACCUCAUUGUGUUCAACCAUUGAUAAAUUUAUCGUCCGUGAAUAUGAAAUUCCUCUUCAUUUCUCUGGAAAUUUACAUUUACACCAUUGGAAAUUGUGCAUCUAUACAAAGGAUUGAUUCACCCUCUCUGUAAUGCUAAUAAGCAGGAAUUGAGACCCACCUCGUUGUGAUUAGCAAUGGAUAAAUUUGUCGUCUGUGAGUAUGUAAUCCCUCCUCAUAUCUCUGGAAAUUCAUAUGUACACUAUGGAUUAAGUCACCUUCUCUGUGAUGCUAUUAAAACUUUUUUAAAAUUCUGUGAUAAGACUGUACAUCAUCUUUAAAGAACUUUAAUGAACUUUGGAAAUCUGUUUAUGUUACUUAAUUAUCUACAUUACUUCAUGAGUAUAGCCUCAACCACUAGGAUGUCUAGAGAACUCACAUGUAUUUUAGCUGAUGAGUACGGGACACGUUUAUAUGCUGCAAUUUUUGCAACUUUUAAUAAAGCCUGUCCUUGUAUGAAACGAUUGUACUAAAAACCUAUCCAUUCUUGUUGCUUUUUUCUCGCGUAUAUAUAUAUACAUAUAUAUAUAUGUGGAUUCGUAUUUUAAAGUAAUAAUACUGGUAGUAGUAAUAAUAAUAAUACUAGCAAUAAAAUAAUGAUGCAUGAGUACGGAAAAUAUCAUUAAGGCGUUAGCGUAGGUAGAAAUACUUAUCGUAAGCUAGGUUAGUGAGCGUCUGGGAGAAGAUUAGCCUACGGGAGGGUCUUGACUUCGCAUAUUAGACGCAGGGCGAUUUUUUGAGCCAAAUUUUUUGGAAAAAAGUGCGUCCUAUAUGCCGUCAAAUACGGUAUAUAUAUAUAUAUAUAAAAGCAUACUGGGAGAAGGAAAGAAACGAAACGAAGCGACGCGAGGGCGCUCAGUCAUACAAUA